rnacentral:lncRNA from 1 species
AUGGUAGGAACUGGUUAGCUGUAGAGCUGACUCUAUGGGUAGUAACAAGUGUUUAGGCUGUAGAGCUGACUCAAUGGGUAGUAACUGUUAGCUGUAGAGCUGACCUAUGGGUAGUAACUGUUAGCUGUAGAGCUGACUCUAUGGGUAGUAACUGUUAGCUGUAGAGCUGACGCUAAUGGGUAGUAACGUUGGCUGUAGAGCUGACGCUAUGGGUAGUAACUGUUAGCUGUAGAGCUGACUCUAUGGGUAGUAACUGUUAGCUAGAGCUGCCUAUGGGUAGUAACUGUUAGCUGUAGAGCGACUCUAUGGUAGUAACUGUUAGCGUAGAGCUGACUCUAUGUGUAGUAACUGUUAGCUGUAGAGCUGACUCAUGGGUAGUACUGUAGCUGUAGAGCUGACGCUAUGGGUAGUAACUGUUCUGUAGAGCGGACUCUAUGGGUAGUAACUGUUAGCCGUAGAGCUGACCUCAUGGGUAGUAAGUUACUGUAGAGCUGACAUGGGUUACGUUAGCUGUAGAGCUGAUCAUGGGUAGUAACUUGUAGCCUUAAGAGCUGACUCUAUGGGUAGUAACUGUUAGUGUAGAGCCUGACUCUAUGGGUAGUAACUGUUAGCUGUAGAGCUGACUCUAUGGAGUAACUGUUAGCUGUAGAGCUGACUCAAUGGGUAGUAACUGUUAGCCUUAGAGCGACGCGAUGGUAUUAACUGUUAGCUGUAGAGCUGACUCUAUGGGUAGUAACUGUUGCUUGUAGAGCUGACUCUAUGGGUAGUAACUGUUAGCUGUAGAGCUGACUCAUGGGUAGUAACUGUUAGCUGUAGAGCUGACUCUAUGGGUAGUAACUGUUAGCCUGUAGAGCUGACUCUAUGGGUAGUAACUGUUAGCUGUAGAGCUGACUCUAUGGGUAGUAAGUUUAGCUGUAGAGCUGACUCUAUGGGUAGUAACUGUUAGCUGUAGAGCUGGACUCUAUGGUAUGUACAUGUUAGCCUUAGAGCUGACUCUAUGGGUAGUACUGUUAGCAUUAGAGCUGACUCUAUGGGUAGUAACUGUUAGCCGUAGAGCUGACUCUAUGGGUAGUAACUGUUAGCUGUAGACUGACUCUAUGGGUAGUAGACUGUUAGCUGUGAGAGCUGACUCAUAGGGUAUAACUGUUAGCUGGAUAGCUGACUCUAUGGGUAGUAACUGUUAGCUGUAGAGCUGACUCAAUGGGUAGUAACUGUUAGCAUUAGAGAUACAGAUCAUUUAAAAAUAUAUAUUUUUGGAAAAGUCUCAUUCUCAAUAUAAGGCUCUGGGAAAAGUAUUGAUUCAAACAAAAUAGAUGGAUGGAUAAAAUAUAGCAGUAUCCAAUA